rnacentral:rRNA from 1 species
UACGAAGGGUGCAAGCGUUACUCGGAAUUACUGGGCGUAAAGCGUGCGUAGGUGGUCGUUUAAGUCUGUUGUGAAAACCUGGGGCUCAACCCCGGGCCUGCAGCCGAUACGGGCAGACUAGAAUUCGGUAGGGGAGACUGGAAUUCCUGGUGUAGCGGUGAAAUGCGCAGAUAUCAGGAGGAACACCGGUGGCGAAGGCGGGUCUCUGGGCCGAUAUUGACGCUGAGGAGCGAAAGCGUGGGGAGCGAACAGG